AGGAAUAUUGGUCAAUGGGUGCAAGCCUGAACCAGCCAUCCCGCGUGAAGGACGACUGCCCUAUGGGUUGUAAACUUCUUUUGUAUAGGGAUAAACCUACCCUCGUGAGGGUAGCUGAAGGUACUAUACGAAUAAGCACCGGCUAACUCCGUGCCAGCAGCCGCGGUAAUACGGAGGGUGCAAGCGUUAUCCGGAUUUAUUGGGUUUAAAGGGUCCGUAGGCGGACUUAUAAGUCAGUGGUGAAAGCCUGUCGCUUAACGAUAGAACUGCCAUUGAUACUGUAAGUCUUGAGUAUAUUUGAGGUAGCUGGAAUAAGUAGUGUAGCGGUGAAAUGCAUAGAUAUUACUUAGAACACCAAUUGCGAAGGCAGGUUACCAAGAUAUAACUGACGCUGAGGGACGAAAGCGUGGGGAGCGAACA
rnacentral:rRNA from 1 species